rnacentral:ribozyme from 13 species
UUGUUCUUGUUCUUGUUCUUUUUCUUUUUCUUGUUCUUGUUCGUUUUCUUCUUUUUUCCAACCGACGUAAACUUUUCCAAAAGCUCCUCGCCCAAUUGCUUUUUCGAGUCUAUAAUUUGCAGCAUCAAAAGGUUUUGUAGAAAGAUUCAAUGCACUUGCCAUCUUC